UAUUAAGCACUUACUGUAUGCAGAGCACUCUACUAAGCUGUUGGGAGAGCACAAUACAACAAUAAAUAAACACAUUCCCUGCCCACAACAAGCUUACAGACUUGGGAUAGGGAUGGUAUCCAAACUGGUUAUCUUGUACCUGCAUAGUGCUGGGCACAAAACUGUGGCUUAACAAAUGCCACAAUUAUUAUUAUUAAGCCCUGUCCCAUAUGGGACUAACAGUCUGAAGAGGAGGAAGAACAGAUAUUUAAUCCCCAUUUUACAGAUGAGGAACUUGAGGCACAGAGAAAUAAGAUGACUUGCCUAAAAUCACACAGAAGACAAGUAACUGGGAUUAGAAUCCCGCUCCUCUGAAUCCCAGGCCCGUGCUCUUCCUACUAGGCCUGGGACUCAACCAACCGUAACUAACCAUAGGUAGCCCACCCUAUGUGCCCCUUGGAGCCUGAAGUGGCCCAAGGUGUAGACUCCAUUUUUUUGCUCCUUUCCAGGUCCUCCCACCCACCUUGAGGUCCAGGACCAAACUGGAGGUCCCUCUCUCUCUGACCCAGAGUCCAGUGAGAUGAGCUGGGUGCCCAUCUUGCCCAGGCCCACCCAGUCAACCUGGAUGAUUGAGGGAUGAGAAGAGUGCCAGCUUCUGUAAAUCUGCCACUGCUAAAGCUUGGACUACCAUCUUCUCCCACCACCACCAAGACAGCAGCCGCAGCAGUCCCGGGAAGUAGCUCCAGCCCAUCUCGCCUAUCUUAGGCCAGAUGGCAAAGUCCGUGUCUUGUGCCCUCAUUGGAAGAACACACGAACCCUUAUGCACCUCGGCCAAGGGUGCUGCUCACUUAGAUGGAAGAGAUGAAUAGUGGAAGAUGGGAGAGGAGACUCGUCAGUCCUGGGUGAGGCACGAGAAAGGAGCCACUGUGUUGUUCAUUUUCUGCUAAGCUGUGAGGGAAUUGGCAAGUCAGAGAAUUCUGGAGAAAUUUCGUGUGCAAGCAACAAGCAACAAUUUCAAGCAACGUUUAUUCGACUACCUGUAUUUCUGGGCUAUUUCCACACUUCUGAACAUCAGUCACUUGGUAGUGUUCUUUCUGGAGGAGAAUGGAGAGUUAGUGUUCCCAGAGAAGAAUCAUAGCAAAGCAAGUAGUGCGCAAGUUCAUUUCUCGCAUUAAAGAAAAUCAACAGGAUUAGAGGUUGAUUCUGUUUUAUUUCGUGAUGGAGUAAGUAAUUGGCUUUCUUUUCAUAUUUGAAAUCUCAGUUCAGUGAAAAUACAGGGGAAAGCAGUUUGUGGUGGCAGGAGGUUAGAAAAAGUAUUCUCUCUAAAUAUAUUUCUCAAAUGUAGUACUUUCUAUCUUCCAGAUGUUGAUUGCUUUUCUUUAUUAAAACUGAUUUUGCUUUGUUUUCUAGGGAGGUAGUUUGGAAUUUUUUUGAGGUCAGAGUUAUUUAUCUAAAUGGUAUUUUAAAAAGAUCGCUACGUAAAAUAAUCUACUGAUUCAUUGAUGUAUUGUAACCAGAAUCGAUCUGUACAUCAUGAUAUAUCAAAAUGCAAAAUGUGCCAUUGGUCUUUACCUGAGUCAAAUGAAUAAUCUAUUUUUUUCUAUUGUAGAAUUUUUGAUUAUUAAUUAUUUGGGGUGUUUUUUGCAUACUAACAUAUGCCAUUAAGAGGGAUCUCUUGGAGUAGUUAUGCAUUAAUUUACACUAAUCAUUUAAUAGUACUCUAACUCCAUUAGCCCUAGCUUGAAGAAAUUGAUGUAUUGGCUAAGGUAACAAUUCUCCUAUCCUCACCCCUCUGAAUCACCUCCCACAUUAAUGAUAAAAAUGUCCCUAAUUGAGCAGGUGUUAAAAGAAAAGAUUCUAAAUAGAGCUAAAAAGACUAAUCUACUGAAUUAGGAAAAUUGAGCGAAAUAUUGGAAUGACUAAUGGAUGCUUCUAUUCCAGGAAAGUGUACUCCUUGCUUGUAAAUAAUAGGAAUAUUUAAUUCUAUUUAAAUUGAUUUGUAUUUAUUCAUACGAUGUUCAUCUAUCUGUUUGCAUAUGCCUGUCAGCUUGUAUGUUAACUGCAAUUCAUGGUCAACUUCUGGAUGGUGGACUGAAUUAACUUCUCCCGCUCUGAAUAGAACCUAGCCUACCCCUCACAGGCAAAAAAGGUCUUGGUGAAAGUUUUAUGAUAGAGGUAGUUCAGCCCAGCCACACUACUCAUUUUAGAUUGUAUAUGGUGCUGAUAUUAUGAAAUUAUGAAGACUUUUUAGCUGAAACUUUUCGGGGGCAGGGACCUUAUUGUACUCUCCCAAGAGCUUAGUACAGUGCUCCUCACACAGUGAGCACUCAAUAAAUACCACUGAUUGAUUCAUGAGCAGGGAAUGCAUCUGUUAUAUUGUUACACGGCACUCUUCCGAGAGCUUAGGACAGUGCUCUGCACAGAGUAAGUGCUUAAUAAAUAUGAUUGACUGGCAAAAUGCACACCUACACCUUCCUGUGUGAAAACAUCAAUGCUUCCAAAUUCCUCCGGCUGAAGCCCUAGAUGGAAACUGAGCUCUACUAGUUCUGCUGAAGAAGACCGCAGAACUUACCAGACAUUCAAAAAACAGAGUCCCUCCCGCAUCGAUGCCAAAUAGCUGAAAUAAAUCACUUUGUCUUUCCACAGAGGAAUUCCUGUUCUGAAAGAAACAUGCUUUUUCUCAAUACACUCCUUUA
rnacentral:lncRNA from 1 species